rnacentral:misc_RNA from 1 species
AAAGGUGACGUUUAUGAAUUGUGAGAAUCCAGUUAACUCUCCUUUCUUUUUGAAGACAGCCCCUUGUGUUGAUCAAGUUUUUACUUCGAAUUAUUCAUUGACCUCCCCCAACAAGAACAAGCAUUCAUAUUCGUGUGUUGUGUUUGGGGACGUGGAGUUGGCAGAGAUUCCAGAUUUGUGCAGGGUGGACUUGGCAGUUGCAGUGUCGUCGAUAAAUUGCGACAAAAACUGUUCAUACUUAGACAUCUUCGAGGAGCUGCUAUAUGGGU